UACGUAGGGCGCAAGCGUUGUCCGGAAUUAUUGGGCGUAAAGAGCUCGUAGGCGGUUUGUCGCGUCUGCCGUGAGAACCCGAGGCUUAACCUCGUGGCUUGCGGUGGAUACGGGCAGACUAGAGGUAGGUAGGGGAGAAUGGAAUUCCCGGUGUAGCGGUGAAAUGCGCAGAUAUCGGGAGGAACACCGGUGGCGAAGGCGGUUCUCUGGGCCUUACCUGACGCUGAGGAGCGAAAGCGUGGGGAGCGAACAGG
rnacentral:rRNA from 1 species